GACCCGCGUCUGAUUAGCUAGUUGGUAAGGUAACGGCUUACCAAGGCGACGAUCAGUAGCCGACCUGAGAGGGUGAUCGGCCACAUUGGAACUGAGACACGGUCCAAACUCCUACGGGAGGCAGCAGUGGGGAAUAUUGCACAAUGGGCGAAAGCCUGAUGCAGCAACGCCGCGUGAGUGAUGAAGGCCUUCGGGUCGUAAAACUCUGUCCUCAAGGAAGAUAAUGACGGUACUUGAGGAGGAAGCCCCGGCUAACUACGUGCCAGCAGCCGCGGUAAUACGUAGGGGGCUAGCGUUAUCCGGAUUUACUGGGCGUAAAGGGUGCGUAGGCGGUCUUUCAAGUCAGGAGGGAAAGGCUACGGCUCAACCGUAGUAAGCUCUUGAAACUGGGAGACUUGAGUGCAGGAGAGGAGAGUGGAAUUCCUAGUGUAGCGGUGAAAUGCGUAGAUAUUAGGAGGAACACCAGUUGCGAAGGCGGCUCUCUGGACUGUAACUGACGCUGAGGCACGAAAGCGUGGGGAGCAAACAGGAUUAGAUACCCUGGUAGUCCACGCUGUAAACGAUGAGUACUAGGUGUCGGGGGUUACCCCC
rnacentral:rRNA from 1 species